rnacentral:snRNA from 1 species
CCGGGUUACGGUGCCCAA